ensembl:lncRNA
GAGGGGAAACAAGAAGCUAACUGAUUUGUGCUGCAGAUUGUUGCUGAAUUCCCCCACCCCACUCCCUGUGUUCCUAACAACUCCUCCCUCUUCAGUAGUGAUCCUUCACUCAGUGAUCCUUUACUCAGUGAUCCUUCACUCAUGGGGAGGAACAGCUUCUGCUGUUAUGGCUGAAGGAAAGGAUUUGUCUUGAAUAUUUCUGAGAGCCUACUGCAGGUGAGACACAGCUAACAAGAUGCUGUGGAGUCCUUGGAAGGUGGGUUCUGGAGAGUGCACCUGAGCUGGUCCUUGAAAGUCUAAAAUACAUCCAGCACAAUGUUGGAGAAGGCGAUGGCACCCCACUCCAGUACUCUUUCUUGGGAAAUCCCAUGGAUGGAGGAGCCUGGUGGGCUGCAGUCCAUGGCUUCACGAAGAGUCGGACAUGACUGAAGCAACUUAGCAGCAGCAGCAGCCAGCACAAUAUUGAAUAGCAAUGAUGAAAGUGGUCAUUCUUGACUUGUUCCUGAUUUUAGGGAGAAAGUUUUCAGUCUUUAACCAUUGAAUAGCGAUGAGUUUUUACAUAUGCUCUUUAUUACUUUAGCAAAGCUUUUUCUAGUCCUAGUUUUCUGACACUUUUAUCAUGGAGGCAUAAUUUUGUCAAAAGUUUUUUCUUUUUUCAUUGAGAUGAUCAUGUGUUUCCCUCCUCAUUUUAUUAAUCUAAUAUAUUACAUUGAUUAAUUUUUUAUGUUGAACCAAAUAAAAUAUUAAUA